UACGUAGGGUGCAAGCAUUAAUCGGAUUUAUUGGGCGUAAAGGGCGUGUAGGCGGUUUGAAAAGUCAGAUGUGAAAUCCCAAGGCUUAACCUUGGAACGGCAUUUGAAACUCUCAAUCUAGAGGAUGGACGGAGAAAAUGGAAUUCCACAAGUAGCGGUGAAAUGCGUAGAUAUGUGGAAGAACACCAGUGGCGAAAGCGGUUUUCUAGUUUAUACCUGACGCUGAGGCGCGAAAGCUAGGGGAGCAAACAGG
rnacentral:rRNA from 1 species